rnacentral:rRNA from 1 species
AGAGUUUGAUCCUGGCUCAGGACGAACGCUGGCGGCGUGCCUAACACAUGCAAGUCGAACGAGAAUCUUUGGAAUGAUUCUUUCGGGAUGAAUUCCAAAGAGGAAAGUGGCGGACGGGCGAGUAACGCGUGAGUAACCUGCCCAUAAGAGGGGGAUAAUCCAUGGAAACGUGGACUAAUACCGCAUAUUGUAGUUAAGUUGCAUGACUUGAUUAUGAAAGAUUUAUCGCUUAUGGAUGGACUCGCGUCAGAUUAGAUAGUUGGUGAGGUAACGGCUCACCAAGUCAACGAUCUGUAGCCGAACUGAGAGGUUGAUCGGCCACAUUGGGACUGAGACACGGCCCAGACUCCUACGGGAGGCAGCAGUGAGGGAUAUUGGGCAAUGGGGGAAACCCUGACCCAGCAACGCCGCGUGAGGGAUGACGGUUUUCGGAUUGUAAACCUCUGUCCUCUGUGAAGAUAGUGACGGUAGCAGAGGAGGAAGCUCCGGCUAACUACGUGCCAGCAGCCGCGGUAAUACGUAGGGAGCAAGCGUUGUCCGGAUUUACUGGGUGUAAAGGGUGCGUAGGCGGCUAGGCAAGUCAGACGUGAAAACCAUGGGCUCAACCUGUGGACUGCGUUUGAAACUGUUUAGCUUGAGUGAAGUAGAGGUAGGCGGAAUUCCCGGUGUAGCGGUGAAAUGCGUAGAGAUCGGGAGGAACACCAGUGGCGAAGGCGGCCUACUGGGCUUUAACUGACGCUGAGGCACGAAAGCAUGGGUAGCAAACAGGAUUAGAUACCCUGGUAGUCCAUGCCGUAAACGAUGAUUACUAGGUGUUGGAGGAUUGACCCCUUCAGUGCCGCAGUUAACACAAUAAGUAAUCCACCUGGGGAGUACGACCGCAAGGUUGAAACUCAAAGGAAUUGACGGGGGCCCGCACAAGCAGUGGAGUAUGUGGUUUAAUUCGACGCAACGCGAAGAACCUUACCAGGUCUUGACAUCCAACUAACGAAGCAGAGAUGCAUUAGGUGCCCUUCGGGGAAAGUUGAGACAGGUGGUGCAUGGUUGUCGUCAGCUCGUGUCGUGAGAUGUUGGGUUAAGUCCCGCAACGAGCGCAACCCUUGUUUCUAGUUGCUACGCAAGAGCACUCUAGAGAGACUGCCGUUGACAAAACGGAGGAAGGUGGGGACGACGUCAAAUCAUCAUGCC